AACAUUUGCUGAGUUGAGCUAGCUCCCACCUGGCCUGCUGCCAGGCUGAGAGUUGGAGAAAUUAAACAGCUUGCACCAGGUGGGAAACUAUGCUCACAGCCCCCAACACAUAAUGCGACCUUUCUUUCCAUUCCUUCAAGAUUAACAGGAUAGCUGGAAGUCCCGCUGGCCAUCGGACACUCGUUCAUUAGGUGCUAACUAUGUGUCAGGCACUGGGUACUGGGAUGCGAUGGUGAACAAGACAGCCACAGACCAGCUCUCCUUGGAAACUGAGCUCAGAGGUGGAAACCAACCUAAAUAAACGGUCACGAUCAAGCUGUCAGUAGGACCGAUUCCUUGGAGAAACUCUGGAAAUAGUGAGUGCCUUCUGCUUCCCCAGUUCCCAGAAGCCCUCUGCAACCCUUAGCUUGUGGCCCCUUUGAUCUUCAAUAUCAGCAAUUACCAGUCAAGUCUUUUUCACGCUGCGUCCUUUGACCUCUUCUCUUGCUUCUAUCUUUCACUUUCAAGCACAUUUGUGAUGAUUUGGGGCUUACCUGGACAAUCUACAGUUAUGUUUUCUGGGAAACAUAACACAGUCACGACUUUUAGGUGGUGUCUGUGCCUGUCGCAGGCAGUUGGACUGACAAAAUAUGAACCGUGCUCAGAUGCCAAGAGCACACAGUGGCUGUGCAAUGAGGGAGCCCGAGGAUGGCCACUGAUGGCAGGCAUUUCGGAACCCUUCUCCAAAGCUCUAGAGCUCUAGACCAAUGAUUCUCAACCUUCUUUUUUAAUGUGCAUUGGUAUUUUGCCUACAUGUAUGUCUGUAUGAAAGUUUCAGAUCUUGGAUUACAGACAUCUGUGAGCUGCCAUGUGGGUGCUGGGAAUUGAACCUGGAUCCUCUGGAAAAGCAGCUAGAUGCUCUUAACUGCUGAGCCAUCUCUCCAGCCCCCGGUUCUCAACAUUCUUAAUGCUGAGACCUUUAAUAUAUUUCUCAUGUUGUAGUGACUCCCAACGAUAAAAUUAUUUUUGUUACUACUGUUAUGAAUUGUAAUAUCUGUUUUUUUUUAUAGUCUCAGGUGAUCCCUGUGAAAGGCAACCCACUGACUGAGAAGCCCUGCCCUAGUGGUCAGCUGGCAUCCCUGAGUAAGAGCUAGCUCCUCUGAGGGGGUCUAGCUCCUCAUUCGCAGGGCCUGCUUUCAAGUGCUAGGAAUUACUAAGAUCUAAAGACUUGGGAUGCAGAUAUUGGUGAGAGGUGCUAUUCUGCAUGCCAUGAGGUAUUGCUGAGAGAAGGAGGAAGAAAAAGAAUAGGAGGAAAGAAAUUACACCGAGUCACUCUCAUCUGAAGUCUGAUUGCACCCAGGAUAAAAGACCUUCUCGGACAAUUACCGGAUGGUCUGGGAGAGGGAGCCAAAGGGCAGGGACUGCUAGAUGGCUCUAGAAGCCAUUUAGAGAUUUGCACAUUGCUGCUAUCCUAAAUCCUACUUCCUCAGUUAGGACACGGGCAAACAGAAGUGCACCUGCAGACUGGCCUUUGCCAAGUAGAGAAGCCUCAGGUGUUAUAACUGAGGACUAGUAUGUGCAGACUCCAAGCAAGGAAGAUCAUUUUUCAUCACUGGCCAUCGCAGAGGCCAGCGGGCAGGGCUGCUGUGAGGACCCUGACAUGCCCAGGUGUAUGCCCUAGCCUGCCAUCAUUCGGACAGGCUAGACGAUGAUGCAGUAUAAGGGAGGAGUGAUUUACUCUGGCUCACAGUUUCAGACCUUUCAGCCCGAAACCAUGUGGCCCCAUUGCUUUUUACCUGAGGUGGGGUAGACUACCAUGGUGACAAGGACAUAUGACAGAGCAGUGGAAAGACAAGGGACCAGAGACAGAGGCAUAUCCCAAGUGACCUGCUUCCUCUAGCCAGAUCUGGUCUAAGAUUUCCUCCACUUAUCAAAUUAGGAAUUUGUGACUUCAUCCCCCAGUCACAUCAGAGUUCUCCAAGUCUAAUGAGCACUCGGUGACUGGAUCCAUGAGCUGAGGACUAAACUCCAACACUCAUGCCUUUUCACAGAGGGGCUGCCAUCAAGCCUGUACUUCCUGCUGAUAAGUUAAUCUACACAGAAUACUCUCAUCUCACCUUGCAGCACUGAGGAGAAGAGGAAAGGACCAGAGGAGGCAGCAAGCAGCCCUUUUUAGGGCAUGGCCUAGAAUGGACUCUUUCAGCUUUGGCACUGAUGACACUUGUGCCAAGCAACUCUUUUGUGUAAGGGGCUGUUUUGUACAGCAUAGCUUGUGCCACGCCUCUAGAAUCCACCUUCUAGAUAACAGGAAUCACAGCUUCUGGAAGUGACCGUGAAGAACGUCUCCAGACUUUGUCAAAUGCUCUGGGAAGCAAAGUCGCAUGCAGUUAAGUGGAUAUAGGAGAGAGCAUGCUAUUCUGGUACCCUCCUCUUGCUCAGAACUUAGGAAACGGUCACUCCUCUAAAGUGUAAGCAGGGGUUCUAUCAGUAAGGAAGUGGCUGACACGUGGCUUCAGCUGGUGGUCUCUGGGAGACUAACAGCUUCCGAGCCUCUGCUUAGUGUCCGAGUCACGCUCCUGAACACAUGGGAUGUGCUGUGAGGAUGGUCGCUAGUGAGAGGAGUUUCUGAACCUGUCUCCAGAGUCCUAGCUGGUCAGUUGGCAUCCCUGAGGCAACGCUAUCUGAGGAGUUGGCCCUUUAACCACUGGACUUGCUUCCCAAUGCUGGGGGAGUCAAAGACAUUUCCUGGAGCCACAGGCUUCCCAGUUCUAUGUCACACUGAAUGCGAACUUUGGCUUUAACUUCUGGCUCUGUCUUACAUGCGUCCAGAGUGACUUUGCUUCUCCCAUAGUGGGUUUCAAAGGCGAACAGUAUUGGCUUUUAUUUUGACCAUGAGUUAGCUCUGUGGUUCUUUGUCAUCCUGCUUUCCUCGUCUGUAAAGUUAGGGCAGGGUCCGCUUUCACUCAGGGUUGUUGGGGGAAUUAAGUGAGAUGAUGUGGAAGAGAGACUUGUGCUCAUUCUUCAGACUUCAACACCUAAGGGCCUGGCAAAUUGAUACUCAGGUUUAAGCACUGGAGUCUGGGUCUCCAGGGUUAACAUGAGUGCUUCGUAGGCAUGGCAGCCUACUUGAAAUCCGGGAACUGUGGGAUUUGAUGAGGAUGGGGAACGCCAAGGGAAACAGGGUACUCAGAGCACGCUGGUCAACAAGCCAACAGAACAGUGGCCUCUGUGCCCAGUAAACACGCUGGUGAGCAGCAGUGAAGUAUGACACCUAAGAUCAACUUCUGUCCUGCAUGUGUGUGUGCACAUACACAUAUCCAUAUUUCACACACACCCCCAUACAUAUGCAUACAUGGGAAAAGAAGGAGAAAGAAGACUGACUAGCAGCCGCAUGUCGAGGAGAGCAGGAUCUUAUCUUCGCAGUGUUUCCCUGUGGUAUUUACUGCCCUUGUUAUGGUCGUUGAUUCUAGAACUUGCCAGCCAGUGGGUAGAUGAGGCUGAACCAAUACAUACUGGGUCUGCAUGUGGAAGAAUGAGGCUUGCAGCCAACGGCCGUCCACAUCUCUGAUGAGGAUCAGAGCACAUGGAAAUUGAAGCCAUGUGGGACUUAACAAGAGAUCAAAUGGUAUCUUAAACAUCCCAGGGCAGCUGCCCUGUCCCCAGAGCCUGGGGCGGCCUCUGUGAAGGGGCCCCUCUUUCCUGGUGUUCUGGGUCCCUCUCCUCCCAGCUCCACUGCAGCAUCCAGAUUUCUCGAAGUGGCUGAUGUGUGUCUCAUGAUGAGUACUGAACAUCAUAAAAGGAGAAGUGACAAGCAAGCCCGAGUCUAGAGAGUAAGAGAAGCCACAGGCUAAGAAGUGGGACCAUGGCUUAGAAGACCAGAACAGAAGAAAAAGCAAGAGAUGAACAUUCUGGCAAAAACCAGACUACAGAUUUACAUUUUUUCUUUAUUAUUUUAUUAGAUAUUACCUUUAUUUUUAUUAUCUUUUUAAAUUAUUUUUAUUAUUUUAUUAUCUUUCAUUAUUUUUAUUAAAAUUCUUAUCACUUUAUUUUCUUUAUUCUUUUUUCUUUACUCUCAGUACUUCAUUCAGCAUCACCAUAUUUAAUGUUUCCUUACAACUGGGUCUUUUCUAUGGUUGUCCUUGGAUACACCCUUGUUGGUGGCAGAACCCUGUGGUUAGUUCUGGCCAAUGACUGAUGUGUGGAAGUGAUGUGUCUGGGCUGAUGUAUUGAAUGGCCUCUGGGAAGCAAGCAGUUGACAGGGUGACAGACAAAUGCUUGAAACAGCUUAUGCAGUGGAGGUUUCCUUCAGAGGACAAUUGCCCUGGGGACAUCUCUUGAUCAGGAUCUGACUUUGC
rnacentral:lncRNA from 1 species